rnacentral:rRNA from 1 species
UACGUAGGGACCAAGCGUUGUUCGGAUUUACUGGGCGUAAAGGGCGCGUAGGCGGCGCAAUAAGUCACUUGUGAAAUCUCCGGGCUUAACUCGGAGCGGCCAAGUGAUACUGUUGUGCUAGAGUGCAGAAAGGGCAAUCGGAAUUCUCGGUGUAGCGGUGAAAUGCGUAGAUAUCGAGAGGAACACCUGAGGCGAAGGCGGGUUGCUAGGCUGACACUGACGCUGAGGAGCGAAAGCGUGGGGAGCGAACAGG